UCUGGGCAUGUUGCUGUAUACCUCUAGUCCCAGCUACCUGGGAGGCUGAGGCAGGAGGAUCACUUGAGCCCAGGAGUUGGAGGCAAGGCCAAUCUGGGCAAUGUUCUAAGACUCUGUCUCAA
rnacentral:sRNA from 1 species